GAUAAACGCUGGCGGCGUGCUUCAUGCAUGCAAGUCGAACGGUUUUCCCGCAAGGGAAGGCAGUGGCAAACGGGUGAGUAACACGUAAGUAACCUGUCCUUAAGUGGGGGAUAACACUUCGAAAGAAGUGCUAAUACCGCGUGUGGUCCUUUCACAUAAGUGGGAGGUCUAAAGCCGCAAGGCGCUUGAGGAGGGGCUUGCGUCUGAUUAGCUAGUUGGGAGGGUAACGGCCUACCAAGGCGAAGAUCAGUAGCUGGUCUGAGAGGACGGACAGCCACACUGGGACUGAGACACGGCCCAGACUCCUACGGGAGGCAGCAGCAAGGAAUAUUGUGCAAUGGGCGAAAGCCUGACACAGCGACGCCGCGUGAGGGAUGAAGGCUUUCGGGUUGUAAACCUCUUUUCUCAGGGAGGAAUAAUGACAGUACCUGAGGAAUAAGUCACGGCUAACUACGUGCCAGCAGCCGCGGUAAUACGUAGGUGGCGAGCGUUAUCCGGAUUUAUUGGUACG
rnacentral:rRNA from 1 species